AAAAAAAAAAAAGAAAAAUAAAAAAAAAAAAGAAAAAUCAAUGAUUUAUAUUUACAUGUAGAGAAUAAAUGCUUAUUGAAUUGCCAAAUUUGCUUCAAAAAACACCUGAAACUUUCUUAUUCUCAAACUUAUUUUCACAUUCGGAAAACAAUUGGCUCGCCAUACUAAACCAAUCACAUCAUGUUUCCAAAGCUGACCUCUAAAAUUGAGUGUCCAGAUCAAGAAAACCACCAAAAAAAAGUAUUCUUUAU
rnacentral:misc_RNA from 1 species